rnacentral:pre_miRNA from 1 species
UACAAUGUCUACUCUUCGUUUUAUUUAAAAUUUUUUACGAUUAAUAUUUUUGUUCUUACUAGCUGAUAAAACAUGAAUAUUACUUUAUGCAUGACUAAUUUUUUUAAAUUUUUGUAUAAAAUUUUCAAAUAAGACGAAUGGUCAAACGUUAGAUACGAAAAAAC